ACGCUCGACACCUACGGAGGCAGCAGUGGGGAAUAUUGCACAAUGGGGGAAACCCUGAUGCAGCGACGCCGCGUGGAGGAAGAAGGUCUUCGGAUUGUAAACUCCUGUUGUUGGGGAAAAAGAGGAUGGUACCCAACAAGGAAGUGACGGCUAACUACGUGCCGCAGCCGCGGUAAUCUGAGCGGGCUGGCAAGGC
rnacentral:rRNA from 1 species